rnacentral:tRNA from 1 species
GCGGGCGUAGUAUAGUGGUUAUCACAUGUGCUUCCCAAGCAUGGAACCCGGGUUCGAUUCCCGGCGCCCGCACCA